rnacentral:rRNA from 1 species
CUAUCCGUCGCGGGCGUUGGAAAUUUGAGAGGAGCUGUCCUUAGUACGAGAGGACCGGGAUGGACUUACCGCUGGUGUACCAGUUGUUCUGCCAAGGGCAUUGCUGGGUAGCUAUGUAGGGAAGGGAUAAACGCUGAAAGCAUCUAAGUGUGAAGCCCACCUCAAGAUGAGAUUUCCCAUUUCUUUAAGAAAGUAAGAUCCCUGAGAGAUGAUCAGGUAGAUAGGUCAGGAGUGGAAGUACAGUGAUGUAUGGAGCGGACUGAUACUAAUCGAUCGAGGACUUAACCAAU